UCCCAUACAUACAUCCUCUUCUGCCAGGUC
rnacentral:piRNA from 1 species